rnacentral:misc_RNA from 1 species
CACACCUAUUCACCAUCGCUAACGCUUCUCCUUCCCUUCUUCCACCGCCAAACUGGUCUCGGCACUUCCUUUUUCUGUUUCAACCGAUUAUCUUCAACCGCCCGGCUUUCCUCCACUGCAAAACUUUCUGCAGCGGCGGUUCGCUCUCAGGCCAAGCGAGGCUUCUCAUUCAAAGAAGACGAAGUAGCUUCCCCUGCUGAUCUUCAUUUUGAGGCACCACUCAAAAUCGUGGAAUAUCCGGACCCUAUACUGAGGGCGAAGAACAAGCGAAUCGAUAUGUUCGAUGAGAAUUUGAAGAAGCUGGUUGAUGAAAUGUUCGAUGUAAUGUACAAAACUGAUGGUAUUGGGCUCUCAGCACCCCAAGUAGGAAUUAAUGUUCAACUUAUGGUGUUUAAUCCAGUUGGAGAGCCCGGUGAGGGAGAGGAAAUCGUUCUUGUCAAUCCAAGAGUUAACAAAUAUUCAAAGAAAAUGGUGCUUUUUAAUGAAGGCUGCCUAUCCUUUCCUAGGAUUCAUGCUGAUGUUGAGAGACCAGAAUCCGUAAAGAUUGAUGCAAGGGACAUUAAUGGUGCUAGGUUUACUGUCAACUUGUCAGGUCUUCCUGCAAGGGUUUUCCAGCAUGAAUUUGACCAUUUGCAGGGGAUUCUGUUCUUUGAUAGAAUGACUGAAGAAGUUCUUGACAGUAUUCGUGGAGAUCUACAGGCCUUAGAAAAUAAAUAUGAGGAUAAGACUGGACUCCUGAGUCCUGAAAGAAUUGAAACGCGCAAAAGAAAGAACGUUGCUGUUGGUUUUGGGAAAUCAUGAUUGCAGACAUGGG